UUGAUCCUGGCUCAGGACGAACGCUGGCGGCGUGCUUAACACAUGCAAGUCGAACGGAGAAUUUAUUUCGGUAAAUUCUUAGUGGCGAACGGGUGAGUAACGCGUAGGCAACCUGCCCUCCAGUUGGGGACAACAUUCCGAAAGGAAUGCUAAUACCGAAUGUGAUCCCUUUUCCGCAUGGAGAAGGGAUGAAAGAUGGCCUCUAUUUAUAAGCUAUCGCUGGAAGAUGGGCCUGCGUCUGAUUAGCUAGUUGGUGGGGUAACGGCUCAUCAAGGCGAUGAUCAGUAGCCGGUCUGAGAGGAUGAACGGCCACAUUGGGACUGAGACACGGCCCAAACUCCUACGGGAGGCAGCAGUGGGGAAUCUUCCGCAAUGGACGAAAGUCUGACGGAGCAACGCCGCGUGAGUGAUGAAGGUCUUCGGAUUGCAAAACUCUGUUGUCAGGGACGAAUGUGCGAACGUUGAAUAAGCGUUUGUAUUGACGGUACCUGACGAGGAAGCCACGGCUAACUACGUGCCAGCAGCCGCGGUAAUACGUAGGCGGCAAGCGUUGUCCGGAAUUAUUGGGCGUAAAGAGCAUGUAGGCGGGCUUUUAAGUCCGACGUGAAAAUGCGGGGCUUAGCCCCGUAUGGCGUUGGAUACUGGAAGUCUUGAGUGCAGGAGAGGAAAGGGGAAUUCCCAGUGUAGCGGUGAAAUGCGUAGAUAUUGGGAGGAACACCAGUGGCGAAGGCGCCUUUCUGGACUGUGUCUGACGUUGAGAUGCGAAAGCCAGGGUAGCAAACGGGAUUAGAUACCCCGGUAGUCCUGGCCGUAAACGAUGGGUACUAGGUGUAGGAGGUAUCGACCCCUUCUGUGCCGGAGUUAACGCAAUAAGUACCCCGCCUGGGGACUACGAUCGCAAGAUUGCAACUCAAAGGAAUUGACGG
rnacentral:rRNA from 1 species